UCAUCAGUUCUAACGCCGGACGAGCAGC
rnacentral:sRNA from 1 species